AUGGCUCAGGUUGUUUCCUUUCCGUGCACUGUCAAGGAAUUCGAUGCAGGCGCGAGCGUCUCCCCUACACAGAUCGAGGGUCCCUGUGAGAUAGAGACGCGGAGCUAUGGCGGCGAGCGACAAUGGAUUUUUCGAUGCAACCAAUCGCCAGAUCUUGUUUCAUUGAGGAUGUGGGGGAGAGCUUGGUGCCGCCCCCCUGUGACUGCGGCCGUAGGCUUGGCGACGGGCCCUGUGUCUGCCAAUGGCGAUAUGCGGGUACAUCUGAUGGUUUCGCAGCAGCCGCAGAAGUCUGGGUGGAAUAAGUUGUUGAGGAUUGGUGCCGCUGCACCCAGCAGGGCACCGCACCCGAAUCGUAUUACUGCAUUCGAGAAGGCUGUCAGAUGUUUUACCGAUUAUCCAUCUGAAACUGUGAUCUCUCCAGUUCUGGCGACUUCAUUUGAAUCGUUGGGGGAAGGCUGGUGUAAAGAACACAAGGUCCUGCCAGUGUCAAUGUCCACUCUGAUAAGAUUUUUGUGGGCUGAGGAAAAAUGUUGGUACAUUGCAGAGCACAGAGAGAGUCAUAACCAUUCACCUUCACCUAAUUUUGGGGAGACGAUCCACUGGCCAAUGGCCAUCACACAAGCAUAUUCAUGUUUACAUCAGGGAAUGUUCCAUUCAUGA
rnacentral:rRNA from 1 species